UGAAUGCGAUCACAACUUCAGGUUGAGGUUAGCAACAACAAACUAUUUGUUUGCCGAUUAAUCUACAAUAUGAAGCGUCAGCAUCGGUUACGAACACAAAAAGCCCGUCGUGCCGUACAACUUUCGUUUUGCUGGAAAACAUAACCUCAACCUGACAACGUGGUUGCACACAUGUUUUUGCAUACAUAGGAAAUUGAGGUUAACUUUUUCAUGCCAGUUUGGUACUCAAUUAACCAAAAUUGCACUUUGUGGGGAAAAAGCAAAUAAGAAAAAACGAAAUGGAAGAGAAACAUGCAAGAGAGAAAUUACUAUUUAAUUAAAUUAAGAGCUUUGCAAAUUGGUCUAAUGAUACCUAUAGAGGAUGAUACAUGUUUUCUAGACUGAUCAGUGGAUUUGGUAUUUUUUUUAUCGUCAAAGAUACUCAGUAGCAGAACUGAUAGAAGUCAUCACAAAAGACUAGAAAACAUGUAUUCGUCAAACGCAAUCGAAUAAAAAAAAAUGUACACCUAUAAGACUAAUUCUCACUUCAAUGCAAAUAAUAUGUGUCACCAUCAUACAAGUGGUAUUUGCCCGCAUCUGUGUGUAAUUUUUCGCGUUUAUGCUAUUUAGUAGUAAUAAAAGACAAAAGUGCGUGGAAGAUAGGAAAAUUUUAAAUCGAGAAUCGCGUGUUCGGGUCAGUCACAACUUCGGCUAUAAAGAAAUUUCCAGUAACCGGCACGACAACGAACCGAGUGGGUUGACUAAAUGGCGGCCAUCUUGGAAAAUUUAGUCAUAUACAGCUUUUAAGAUUUUCCUGAAACCGGCUUUUUAAAAUAGCUACUUUCUUUUUACCUUUUUACUAAUCUCAGUACCCUAUCAAACACAAUGUGGAACGUGAUGUCGCCAUUUUGAAAAGUUUAUCGAGUAGAGAAAAUGCAUCCCCUACUCCUCCACUUCAGUACAGAGAAGUUCCAACUUAGUCAAUGAUAGAUUAAGAAGCAAUUCUUUUUUUUUACUUUGCGCAUCGGAUGUCUGAUAGAUAUUUGUCAUUAUUACCGUAUAUAUAAUCUUCUUUAUAUAUAAGGGCGUGGUUAACGGUAGAUUUAUAAUCAAAUAAUUAAAACAAGUACUAAGUAGAGCCGCUAGCGCCACGUGUUUCCAAUUUUUAAUUCCGAGACCACUUUUCCUCACUACUUGGAACAUAUGAAUUCUCUUUAUUGCCUUGUCACCCUAUUACACACAGACGCACACUUCUCCAACAAUUCCAAAAGAAAUGUUGCAAAUCCAAUA